rnacentral:rRNA from 1 species
GCGUUAACGAACGAGACCUUAACCUGCUAAAUAGCCCGUACUGCUUUGGCAGUUCGCCGGCUUCUUAGAGGGACUAUCGGCUCAAGCCGAUGGAAGUUUGAGGCAAUAACAGGUCUGUGAUGCCCUUAGAUGUCCUGGGCCGCACGCGCGUUACACUGACAGAGCCAGCGAGUAUUUCCUUGGCCGGAAGGUCCGGGUAAUCUUGUUAAACUCUGUCGUGCUGGGGAUAGAGCAUUGCAAUUAUUGCUCUUCAACGAGGAAUCCCUAGUAAGCGCAAGUCAUCAGCUUGCGUUGAUUACGUCCCUGCCCUUUGUACACACCGCCCGUCGCUAGUACCGAUUGAAUGGAUA